AAUGCCGGCUCGGGCUCGCGGCUGUUCAUUCUGUUACUUACAUCCACUCUUAGCUGUCGGAUAAAGUAACUCAUUUUUAUUUUAAAAAAUUUUUUCCCUGUCUCUCUCUCUUCACCCUUCGCCGAAUUGAAACAUGGUGAGUACAGCUUUAUAUUCCUUUCGCUAGCCGGGGAUUGCUGCCUUAGUAACCACUCUGCAUGUCUUUUUAUGAAGGAAUAGCUCCCCCUCUCCCCUUCUGGCCACUUAUGACAUAAAAUCCUUUUCGGUCGCUGACCUCACGUUAAUUCGGGCUUAAUGACGCGAUAAUGGCUUUUUCAACGCUUCAGUGAUCUAAAUUGGAGAAUUCGAAUCGAAUCUUGUCAUGCGUGUGACCGAUCCACGGGAGCGCGCGUCACUGUUCGAGACAGGAGAAUAGGGCGCGCGUGCACGUUCAUGGUCUUUCUCGAUCAGCAGCCUGCGGAGAUGGGUGGGGGUCCUUCAAUAGCUGCAUUCAUGAGCAUGUGUGACGUCAUGCAUGCAUUCUCAUAAUCCAAGGAUGGGCAAAGAAAUAGCCCCCCUCCCUCUACUGUUUCAUUAAUAUUUCUGGGGUAAAGUCCCUUAUGGGUCACGUCUAGGAUGAUACAUGUUAAUCUAAAGUCAGGAAUUGGUAGGAAAGUUAUAGAAAAGCAGAGUUUAAAUAUACUUGCAGUGUAAUCCUAAAGGACGUAGGGGGUAGCAGUGUGAUAUAAUUCAGUGUCAGGUUUUGGUGGGCAGUAAAAGAAUGAAUGGGAACUCCUUGAAAUGUAAUUUGUAGGAUUCUUCCCUUGCAGUAUAUAUUUUUUCCCAUUAAAAGGCAAACUAGAUUGAACUGUAUUGUAAUGAAAUUGUUAGUCAAGAUCAGUAAUUUAGAGAUGUCAAAUAUAUAAUAACUACAUGACUUAGCGAGCAAUUCUCGGUGGCAUCUUUUAUGAUAUAUGGAAUAGCCUCUGUGGCUGCUAUGGACUAGCAGCAGCUGGAAGAACAAUAAACAUAGAUCAAUAAAUUCAGAAACAAUCCAUCUUAAAACCUAAUCCUUAUUCACUUCAAAGCCAACUGCAGCUGUUCCUCUUUCAUAGUCAAUCGGAUGAAGUGUGGGGGUGGAAGCCACUUGCAAGCUCUUGUCUGCUAACGUGGAAGUAGUGUCAGCUGACUGCUGUGGGUGUGAUUAGCCUACCUAUUGUUGCAGCUUUUAGAAUUAAGAUAUGGAUUUGAUGCUGUUCAAUAUUUCCAGCAUGUAUGAUAUGAAAAAAUGUGUUGUGCUGUGUGGACACCGUAAAAGAAUAAGGCUUACUGAUCGUAUUCUUAAUAUUAUUUUGUAGGUUGCCGUCCACAAGUUUUGUGUAUGUUAGCUGGUCCACAUACAUAAUGUCUAUGAUUUGUAUUCCUUAACUCAUGAAAUGCUAAUAUUUAAUUUAUCUCUGUUGUAGCGUGAGUGCAUCUCUAUCCACGUUGGUCAGGCUGGUGUCCAGAUUGGUAAUGCCUGUUGGGAGCUGUACUGCCUGGAACAUGGCAUUCAGCCUGAUGGGCAGAUGCCCAGUGACAAGACCAUUGGAGGAGGGGACGAUUCCUUCAACACCUUCUUCAGUGAGACUGGAGCUGGAAAACAUGUCCCCAGGGCUGUGUUUGUAGAUCUGGAACCAACGGUCAUUGGUAAGGUCUAGUCAGACCCCUCAUACUCUUCGGCUUCUAAUGUGCAUAGAUCUGUAGAAACUACUGAACAAUCUAUAUAUUUUUCCUUAUUCAGAUGAGGUGCGCACUGGAACCUAUCGACAGUUAUUCCAUCCAGAGCAACUAAUUACAGGCAAAGAAGAUGCUGCCAAUAACUAUGCCCGUGGGCAUUACACAAUCGGCAAAGAAAUUAUUGACCUGGUUUUGGACCGAAUCCGGAAACUGGUAAGUUUAAUGUGCAGCACUUGCUGAUAUGUUUGACUCCCCCAUGGCUUUACGUAAGCAAAUACUGAGUGAUAUUUCUGAUACAAAAGGUUUACUCAUAUUCAUUAUCCAUAAACAUUAACGGUAUUGCGUUAACAUUUUAAUUUGGUUUUCUAUGCUUUGGACUAGUGAACUGUUAGCAAAUGUAUAAUGGAAUACUACCCUGCAAUGAACAUGUAAUUUGUGAUGAAAAAAAAAAAAUACAUGUUGUUAUCCCUAGUGAUUCUCUUAAGUGUGGCAGAUGACAGUAAUUCUUUCUUAAAACCUGUUCAGUGUCUGAGUGAAUUUAAAUAUCCAUUUUGUGUACCAGACUACUUUCCCAUACAUUCAUUGUAUUAUAAAUUAUUUCCUAAUAUGAAGGGCAUAUAUAUCUGUAUCAAAAAAUAACAGCAAAAUUCAGUUUCUUUUUUUUUUUUAGUGUAAUAUCCAUUAAACUUGCAGCUAAUCCAGUGCCAGUGCAGUUUUCCUUUCUGCUGCACAGUUUGUCACCAGUUAAAUCAUCAAUUGGAUGCGUGUUUAAUCAUAUGCUUCUUAUAGAGAAACAUUGUGGACAUGGCAAACAUGCUGCAAUUGCUGCAUCCCAACAAUCUAGUGCUCCCCUAUAAGAAGCAUUGAAUUCAAUGAAGUCUGAUAGAGACACUGGAUAUAAUACAGAUGGGAUUUAAUAUGUCUAUUUCUUACAGCCACUAGUAGAUGUGGAAACUGCAGAAUGUAAAUGAUAUAAUUUCUCAGAAACUGCAUGGUUUUCAUUUGCAAAUUUGCGGAGUAGUGUCUACACAUUUUUAAAAUUAACUUAUAUUAAUUUGGCAUUAUCUUGUAUAGAUCAGUUUUAAACAUUGUAAACACUGGUUUUCUUCCCACAGGCUGAUCAGUGCACAGGUCUUCAGGGUUUCCUGGUGUUCCACAGUUUUGGUGGCGGUACUGGCUCUGGUUUCACAUCCCUUCUGAUGGAGCGUCUCUCUGUUGAUUAUGGAAAGAAGUCCAAGCUGGAGUUCUCAAUCUACCCUGCGCCCCAGGUCUCAACAGCUGUGGUUGAGCCAUACAACUCCAUUCUCACUACUCAUACCACCUUGGAGCACUCAGAUUGCGCUUUUAUGGUGGACAAUGAGGCUAUCUAUGACAUUUGCCGUAGAAACCUAGAUAUUGAGCGUCCCACAUAUACCAACCUCAAUCGUCUAAUUAGUCAGAUAGUGUCCUCUAUUACAGCCUCUCUCAGGUUUGAUGGUGCCCUGAAUGUUGAUCUUACUGAAUUCCAGACCAACUUGGUACCCUAUCCUCGUAUUCAUUUCCCUCUGGCCACUUAUGCCCCUGUUAUUUCAGCAGAGAAAGCUUACCAUGAGCAGCUCUCUGUUGCUGAGAUCACAAAUGCCUGCUUUGAGCCAGCUAAUCAGAUGGUGAAAUGUGACCCACGUCACGGUAAAUACAUGGCUUGCUGCCUGUUGUAUCGUGGUGAUGUUGUGCCCAAAGAUGUUAAUGCAGCUAUUGCCACCAUCAAGACCAAGCGUAGCAUCCAGUUUGUAGACUGGUGUCCCACUGGUUUCAAGGUUGGUAUUAACUACCAGCCACCAACUGUGGUUCCAGGUGGGGACCUGGCCAAGGUACAGCGUGCUGUGUGUAUGUUGAGCAACACCACUGCAAUUGCUGAAGCCUGGGCCCGUCUGGACCACAAAUUUGAUCUUAUGUAUGCCAAACGUGCCUUUGUGCACUGGUAUGUUGGUGAGGGUAUGGAGGAGGGCGAAUUUUCUGAGGCCCGUGAAGACAUGGCUGCCCUGGAGAAAGAUUACGAAGAAGUUGGUGUAGAUUCCGUGGAAGGAGAAGGUGAGGAGGAGGGUGAAGAGUACUAAACCAGAUCUUGCUACAUUAUAAGGGCAUGUGACUUUUUUAUUUUCCCCAUUCUCUUGUCAGCCGAACAGCGAAUGCUUUUUAAUUUGAGUCGUAUCGAACACCUAAACUGUAAUGAUGGCAAUUACGACACUAUGUGUUUUUAGUUACCUUUUUAGCAACCAUGUCAUUGUUCAAACAGUUUUUCUACCAUCCGAUCUGGAAUAAAAACAAAAGAAACAGUCCAUGUUUGGCUUUAGUGUGUUUUUGUUUUUUCUUUUCUGCUCUCCUUCCCCCACCCUUUCUCCAC
rnacentral:lncRNA from 1 species